rnacentral:rRNA from 1 species
GGUUAAGCGACUAAGCGUACACGGUGGAUGCCCUGGCAGUCAGAGGCGAUGAAGGGCGUGCUAAUCUGCGAUAAGCGCCGGUAAGGUGAUAUGAACCGUUAUAACCGGCGAUACCCGAAUGGGGAAACCCAGUGUGAUUCGUCACACUAUCAUUAACUGAAUCCAUAGGUUAAUGAGGCGAACCGGGGGAACUGAAACAUCUAAGUACCCCGAGGAAAAGAAAUCAACCGAGAUUCCCCCAGUAGCGGCGAGCGAACGGGGAGGAGCCCAGAGCCUGAAUCAGCAUGUGUGUUAGUGGAAGCGUCUGGAAAGGUGCGCGAUACAGGGUGACAGCCCCGUACACAAAAGCGCAUGUGCUGUGAGCUCGAUGAGUAGGGCGGGACACGUGGUAUCCUGUCUGAAUAUGGGGGGACCAUCCUCCAAGGCUAAAUACUCCUGACUGACCGAUAGUGAACCAGUACCGUGAGGGAAAGGCGAAAAGAACCCCGGCGAGGGGAGUGAAAAAGAACCUGAAACCGUGUACGUACAAGCAGUGGGAGCACCCUUCGGGGUGUGACUGCGUACCUUUUGUAUAAUGGGUCAGCGACUUAUAUUCUGUAGCAAGGUUAACCGUAUAGGGGAGCCGGAGGGAAACCGAGUCUUAACCGGGCGUUAAGUUGCAGGGUAUAGACCCGAAACCCGGUGAUCUAGCCAUGGGCAGGUUGAAGGUUGGGUAACACUAACUGGAGGACCGAACCGACUAAUGUUGAAAAAUUAGCGGAUGACCUGUGGCUGGGGGUGAAAGGCCAAUCAAACCGGGAGAUAGCUGGUUCUCCCCGAAAGCUAUUUAGGUAGCGCCUCGUGAAUUCAUCUCCGGGGGUAGAGCACUGUUUCGGCUAGGGGGCCAUCCCGGCUUACCAACCCGAUGCAAACUGCGAAUACCGGAGAAUGUUAUCACGGGAGACACACGGCGGGUGCUAACGUCCGUCGUGAAGAGGGAAACAACCCAGACCGCCAGCUAAGGUCCCAAAGUCAUGGUUAAGUGGGAAACGAUGUGGGAAGGCCCAGACAGCCAGGAUGUUGGCUUAGAAGCAGCCAUCAUUUAAAGAAAGCGUAAUAGCUCACUGGUCGAGUCGGCCUGCGCGGAAGAUGUAACGGGGCUAAACCAUGCACCGAAGCUGCGGCAGCGAACGUAUCACCCAAGACAACUUUACGGAGUUGACGAUUGACGGAGCGAAGCGACGUCAAAGCGUUCAUUAAAGUCGAGUUGGCUUAGGGAUACGUUCGUUGGGUAGGGGAGCGUUCUGUAAGCCUGUGAAGGUGUGUCGUGAGGCAUGCUGGAGGUAUCAGAAGUGCGAAUGCUGACAUAAGUAACGAUAAAGCGGGUGAAAAGCCCGCUCGCCGGAAGACCAAGGGUUCCUGUCCAACGUUAAUCGGGGCAGGGUGAGUCGACCCCUAAGGCGAGGCCGAAAGGCGUAGUCGAUGGGAAACGGGUUAAUAUUCCCGUACUUGGUGUUACUGCGAAGGGGGGACGGAGAAGGCUAUGUUGGCCGGGCGACGGUUGUCCCGGUUUAAGCGUGUAGGUGUGUGUUCCAGGUAAAUCCGGUUCACUUUAACACUGAGGCGUGACGACGAGGCACUACGGUGCUGAAGCAACAAAUGCCCUGCUUCCAGGAAAAGCCUCUAAGCAUCAGGUAACACGAAAUCGUACCCCAAACCGACACAGGUGGUCAGGUAGAGAAUACCAAGGCGCUUGAGAGAACUCGGGUGAAGGAACUAGGCAAAAUGGUGCCGUAACUUCGGGAGAAGGCACGCUGACACGUAGGUGAAGUGAUUUACUCAUGGAGCUGAAGUCAGUCGAAGAUACCAGCUGGCUGCAACUGUUUAUUAAAAACACAGCACUGUGCAAACACGAAAGUGGACGUAUACGGUGUGACGCCUGCCCGGUGCCGGAAGGUUAAUUGAUGGGGUCAGCGCAAGCGAAGCUCCUGAUCGAAGCCCCGGUAAACGGCGGCCGUAACUAUAACGGUCCUAAGGUAGCGAAAUUCCUUGUCGGGUAAGUUCCGACCUGCACGAAUGGCGUAAUGAUGGCCAGGCUGUCUCCACCCGAGACUCAGUGAAAUUGAACUCGCUGUGAAGAUGCAGUGUACCCGCGGCAAGACGGAAAGACCCCGUGAACCUUUACUAUAGCUUGACACUGAACAUUGAGCCUUGAUGUGUAGGAUAGGUGGGAGGCUUUGAAGUGUGGACGCCAGUCUGCAUGGAGCCGACCUUGAAAUACCACCCUUUAAUGUUUGAUGUUCUAACGUGGACCCGUAAUCCGGGUUGCGGACAGUGUCUGGUGGGUAGUUUGACUGGGGCGGUCUCCUCCUAAAGAGUAACGGAGGAGCACGAAGGUUGGCUAAUCCUGGUCGGACAUCAGGAGGUUAGUGCAAUGGCAUAAGCCAGCUUGACUGCGAGCGUGACGGCGCGAGCAGGUGCGAAAGCAGGUCAUAGUGAUCCGGUGGUUCUGAAUGGAAGGGCCAUCGCUCAACGGAUAAAAGGUACUCCGGGGAUAACAGGCUGAUACCGCCCAAGAGUUCAUAUCGACGGCGGUGUUUGGCACCUCGAUGUCGGCUCAUCACAUCCUGGGGCUGAAGUAGGUCCCAAGGGUAUGGCUGUUCGCCAUUUAAAGUGGUACGCGAGCUGGGUUUAGAACGUCGUGAGACAGUUCGGUCCCUAUCUGCCGUGGGCGCUGGAGAACUGAGGGGGGCUGCUCCUAGUACGAGAGGACCGGAGUGGACGCAUCACUGGUGUUCGGGUUGUCAUGCCAAUGGCACUGCCCGGUAGCUAAAUGCGGAAGAGAUAAGUGCUGAAAGCAUCUAAGCACGAAACUUGCCCCGAGAUGAGUUCUCCCUGAGACUUAGAGUCUCCUGAAGGAACGUUGAAGACGACGACGUUGAUAGGCCGGGUGUGUAAGCGCAGCGAUGCGUUGAGCUAACCGGUACUAAUGAACCGUGAGGCUUAACCUUAC